rnacentral:lncRNA from 1 species
AUUUCCUUGAGAGUUAGUCAAAUAUGUAUUUGUAAUUAAACACAAAAUAUGUUUGCAUUAAAUAUUGUAUUGAGUGAAUUAUUCUAGUCAGGAUUGAAUUGUCAACCACAACGUUCAAGGGCAGUCUGGGUUAAGGCAGGUGACAGAAAGACUGAGGACUUCCAUAAAAAAGCCUCCCAGCGACAAAAAUGCAAUAGUAUACAUGGCAUUCGGGAUGCUUCGGGAGAGUGGCAGACGGAUCCAGGAAAAGUCAAUUUUAUUGGAUUACUUCAGAAAUCUUUUCACCAUAAGCAACCCACCACAUGUAAAUGCUUUCACCGAGAAUAUCGAGAGGCGAGUUACGGCAGAGAUGAACUCAAACUUCUUCAUUCCUUGCACUGAAAGACAUAAUAUCGCUUUAAAGCAAGGUACGAAGGAACUCUUGCUAUGAAGAUUGAAGAUGCUCGACCAGUAUGAAAUCGCUCGAACAAAGUGAGAGGGAUGUGAGCUAGACUAAAAGGAGAGGGACAAUAGGAGGAAUGGAAUAUAAUUCUUAAUGUUGCCUUAGGCAUUACUACUAAUGGGCUUUACUCAAGCUAAGUGAUAGCAUUUCAUUUCCUUCCCCAAGACUAGAAAAAGAAUACGUACUAUUGGGAGAGCUACUCUGUUCCUUCUUCUAACAAGCAAUCAAAGCCAGUCCUGCGCUUCUUUCCCGCGGGAGACUCCAUCUUUGUCUCUUUCUUGAAACACCAAGCUGACUUGGCUGUAAGCGCUUACGUUACGCUUGCUACAAGUAAACUUCCUUUGAGCGAAGAAAUCGAAUUUAAGUUGCAAAAUCAAGGCGUUAACACAAGCUCUAUCAAGACCUCUUUAGAGAAUGUUGUCUUAAAGUUAGCAGUCCCAAGGGAAGGACUGUAACAAUUGUUGAAUGACACUUUCUUUUUAGUACAGGAGAAUGAAGGAACGUAGGAAGUGAGAUUUCAAACCUACCUCACUACACUUUCUUGCUACUUUUGAAUAGAACCAGGACCUCGAUGUCACUAAGCAAAAACUCGUUUUUUCACGGGUAGGAAGACCCAUGGGAUGGUGAGAAACCUCUAUUCUCAAUAAUCCAUGAUUCUCGUGGAUUUAUAGCUCGAAUAGAGGAAUGGUGAGCAGAUAGCAGCUCGAGUCAAUACCUUCGCCUAUUAAUAUC